rnacentral:rRNA from 1 species
UACGAAGGAGGCUAGCGUUGCUCGGAAUCACUGGGCGUAAAGCGCACGUAGGCGGCUUUCUAAGUCAGAGGUGAAAUCCUGGAGCUCAACUCCAGAACUGCCUUUGAUACUGGAGAGCUUGAGUUCGGGAGAGGUGAGUGGAACUGCGAGUGUAGAGGUGAAAUUCGUAGAUAUUCGCAAGAACACCAGUGGCGAAGGCGGCUCACUGGCCCGAUACUGACGCUGAGGUGCGAAAGCGUGGGGAGCGAACAGG